AUUGAACGCUGGCGGCAUGCCUUACACAUGCAAGUCGAACGGCAGCACGGGGCAACCUGGUGGCGAGUGGCGAACGGGUGAGUAAUGCAUCGGAACGUACCUUUCAGUGGGGGAUAACGUAGCGAAAGUUACGCUAAUACCGCAUAUUCUGUGAGCAAGAAAGCAGGGGAUCGCAAGACCUUGCGCUGAUUGAGCGGCCGAUGUCAGAUUAGCUAGUUGGUGAGGUAAAGGCUCACCAAGGCGACGAUCUGUAGCGGGUCUGAGAGGAUGAUCCGCCACACUGGAACUGAGACACGGUCCAGACUCCUACGGGAGGCAGCAGUGGGGAAUUUUGGACAGUGGGGGCAACCCUGAUCCAGCCAUGCCGCGUGAGUGAAGAAGGCCUUCGGGUUGUAAAGCUCUUUCGGCCGGGAAGAAAUCGCACGGGCUAAUACCCUGUGUGGAUGACGGUACCGGAAUAAGAAGCACCGGCUAACUACGUGCCAGCCGCCGCCGUAAGAC
rnacentral:rRNA from 1 species